rnacentral:rRNA from 1 species
GGACCCGCACAAGUAGUGGAGCAUGUGGUUUAAUUCGAAGAUACGCGCAGAACCUUACCAACACUUGACAUGUUCGUCGCGACUCUGAGAGAUUAGAGUUUUCGGUUCGGCCGGACGAAACACAGGUGCUGCAUGGCUGUCGUCAGCUCGUGUCGUGAGAUGUUGGGUUAAGUCCCGCAACGAGCGCAACCCUCACUUUUAGUUGCCAUCAUUUAGUUGGGCACUCUGAAAGAACUGCCAGUGAUAAGCUGGAGGAAGGUGGGGAUGACGUCAAGUCCUCAUGGCCCUUACGUGUUGGGCUACACACGUGCUACAAUGGUAUCUACAACAGGAAGCAAGACUGCGAGGUCAAGCAAAUCCUAAAACGAUGCCUCAGUUCGGAUUGUACUCUGCAACUCGAGUACAUGAAGCUGGAAUUACUAGUAAUCG